AUUGAACGCUGGCGGCAGGCCUAACACAUGCAAGUCGGACGGUAGCACAGAGAGCUUGCUCUCGGGUGACGAGUGGCGGACGGGUGAGUAAUGUCUGGGGAUCUGCCCGAUAGAGGGGGAUACCCACUGGAAACGGUGGCUAAUACCGCAUAACGGCGCAAGCCCAAAGAGGGGGACCUUCGGGCCUCUCACUAUCGGAUGAACCCAGAUGGGAUUAGCUAGUAGGCGGGGUAACGGCCCACCUAGGCGACGAUCCCUAGCUGGUCUGAGAGGAUGACCAGCCACACGGGAACUGGGACACGGUCCAGACUCCUACGGGAGGCAGCAGUGGGGAAUAUUGCACAAUGGGCGAAAGCCUGAUGCAGCCAUGCCGCGUGCAUGAAGAAGGCCUUCGGGUUGUAAAGUACUUUCAGCGGGGAGGAAGGCGAUAAGGUUAAUAACCUUGUCGAUUGACGUUACCCGCAGAAGAAGCACCGGCUAACUCCGUGCCAGCCGCCGCAGUAA
rnacentral:rRNA from 1 species